AUUAGUUUGUUUAUGUGUUGCUAUUUUUGUCACAUGCUAUAAAUAAAUGGAUUUAUGGCAAAUGGUAAAAGAAUUAUUUAUCUACGGUCUAUGAUUUGAUGUGUCAUAUUAAAAAAGGAAGCAGCCAGGCUUGCAGGGAGGUGACCUGCCAUGCAGAAGUGGGAUAGGAUCGGCCUGUUUCAUCUACAAACAUCACCAGAGACCGCCGUGUCAGCCGCAGGAGCCUCUGCCAGCGCCGUGCUGGAGUGAGGGGCGGCUCGCAGAAUGACAGAGAAACACUGCAGCUGAAACAAGCCUCACUACGGAAUUCCUUUCUGCAUAUUAGAUGCUAAAUCCCAUAAUAAUUUCACACUGAUCAAAGACCAAACACAUCAGACCUGGUUUGUGCUGAGUACAUAGAGACACUUAAAGGAUUCACAUGCAUCUUAAGUGUUUACAUGGGAUUCAACACAGGUGCUGGAGACUCACAAAGUUUGCACCAUUAUUUUACAUCUUUUUAGCAGACGUUUUCGCCAUACAAGUGCGAAAUUAGACCGACGUACAAGUAAGAAACCAGAAUCAGUCCCUGGUGCAGUUGCGGGAUAGGGGUCUUGCUCAAGGGCCCAAUGGUGACAUCAUUGUGGCGAGCAUGGGAUUUCAACCUUACAAUCACACACC